rnacentral:rRNA from 1 species
GUGGGGAAUUUUGGACAAUGGGCGAAAGCCUGAUCCAGCAAUGCCGCGUGUGUGAAGAAGGCCUUCGGGUUGUAAAGCACUUUUGGCAGGGAAGAAACAGUGCGUGCUAAUACCAUGCGCGAAUGACGGUACCUGCAGAAUAAGCACCGGCUAACUACGUGCCAGCAGCCGCGGUAAUACGUAGGGUGCAAGCGUUAAUCGGCAUUACUGGGCGUAAAGCGUGCGCAGGCGGCUUUGUAAGACGGCUGUGAAAGCCCCGGGCUCAAGCUGGGAAGUGCAUUCGUGACUGCAAGGCUAGAGAGUGUCAGAGGGAGGUGGAAUACCGCGUGUAGCAGUGAAAUGCGUAGAGAUGCGGAGGAACACCGAUGGCGAAGGCAGCCUCCUGGGAUAACACUGACGCUCAGGCACGAAAGCGUGGGGAGCAAACAGGAUUAGAUACCCGAGUAGUCC